UCGUCUUCCCCGUCGGCGUCCGUCGUCGUGGUCCAGCCCUCUGCGGGGCACUGGUACGUCCGCACGUCGCCGCUCUCCUGCCUCUCCUGUUACCUUAUCCCCUCGUAUGGCAUAGGUCGAGUCGGCCAAUAGGGAUGUCGUCGAGUCAGGUUGAGCUCUUCACCCGUUCCCGUUUGCUCCCGCCCCUGCAGCCAGGCGGUUCCCUUCGUCGGCGGCAGGGAAUCGAUCCAGCAGAGUCGGGUUCCUGCUUCGUCGGGUGGGAUAGGGGAGGGGUUCCCGGCUGAUUUGGCCUAGCAGUAACUAGCGCCGAUCGAAUCGAUUGGUUGAUGGAUGAAGUCCCUGAUGCUGUGCUCGCUCAACUGGGCUGCGACCCUAGGCCCGCCCGCGUCACUCAC
rnacentral:lncRNA from 1 species